UACGUAGGGACCGAGCGUUGUCCGGAAUCAUUGGGCGUAAAGAGCGUGUAGGCGGCCACUUAAGUCCUGCGUGAAAUCUUGCGGCUCAACCGCAAGCGGUCGUGGGAAACUGGGUGGCUAGAGUGCGGGAGAGGAGAGUGGAAUUCCUGGUGUAGCGGUGGAAUGCGCAGAUAUCAGGAAGAACACCCGUGGCGAAGGCGGCUCUCUGGACCAUAACUGACGCUGAGGCGCGAAAGCUAGGGGAGCAAACAGG
rnacentral:rRNA from 1 species